AGAUAGGAAGAAGAUUCUAAGGCCAACGGGAGAAGGGUUGUUAAGGAACUCGGCAAGUUGACCCCGUAACUUAGGGAGAAGGGGUGCUCUUUAAGGAGAGCCGCAGAGAAUAGGCCCAAGCGACUGUUUAGCAAAAACACAGCUCUAUGCUAAAUCGAAAGAUGACGUAUAUGGGGUGACACCUGCCCGGUGCCGGAAGGUUAAGAGGAGGAGUGAGAGCUCUGAAUUGAAGCCCCGGUAAACGGCGGCCGUAACCAUGACGGUCCUAAGGUAGCGAAAUUCCUUGCCAGGUAAGUUCUGACCCGCACGAAUGGUGUAACGAUUUGGGCACUGUCUCAACAACCUGCCCGGCGAAAUUGUAGUACCGGUGAAGAUGCCGGUUACCCGCGACUAGACCGAAAGACCCCAUGGAGCUUUACUGCAGCUUAAUAUUGAAUUUCGGUAUUUCAUGUACAGGAUAGGUGGGAGACAGGGAACCAUAGGCGUCAGCUUAUGGGGAGUCGACCUUGGGAUACCACUCUUGAGGUGCUGGAAUUCUAACCUGUGGCUCUGAAUCGAGUCAGGGGACAUUGUUAGGCGGGCAGUUUGACUGGGGCGGUCGCCUCCAAAAAGGUAACGGAGGCGCUCAAAGGUUCGCUCAGCAUGGAUGGAAACCAUGCUUUUGAGUGUAAACGCAAAAGCGAGCCUAACUGCGAGACUGACGGGUCGAGCAGUAACGAAAGUUGGAGUCAGUGAUCCGGCGGUAUGUGAGUGGAAAUGCCGUCGCUCAACGGAUAAAAGCUACCCUGGGGAUAACAGGCUGAUCUCCCCCAAGAGUCCACAUCGACGGGGAGGUUUGGCACCUCGAUGUCGGCUCAUCGCAUCCUGGGGCUGAAUUCGGUCCCAAGGGUUUGGCUGUUCGCCAAUUAAAGCGGUACGCGAGCUGGGUUCAGAACGUCGUGAGACAGUUCGGUCCCUAUCUGUCGUGGGCGUAGGAUAUUUGAAAGGAGCUGUCCCUAGUACGAGAGGACCGGGAUGGACGCACCGCUGGUGCACCAGUUGUCAUGCCAAUGGCACAGCUGGGCAGCUAUGUGCGGAACGGAUAAACGCUGAAGGCAUCUAAGCGUGAAGCCGACCUUAAGAUAAGAUAUCCCUUCGUAAGAGUAAGACCUCUCAUAGACUAUGAGUUUGAUAGGCCUAAGGUGUAAGCACAGUGAUGUGUUCAGCCUGCAGGUACUAAUCGGUCGAGGGCUUUUCCG
rnacentral:rRNA from 1 species